GGCUGGUAUAAGUGUAGUGGUGUUUACAACUAAUUGUUCAUAACCAGUUACAUAACUUUUUUGUUCCUUCUCUACUCCCACUGCUUCACUUGACUGGCCUUAA
ensembl:misc_RNA Y_RNA Y RNA